GAUGAACGCUGGCGGCGUGCCUAAUACAUGCAAGUCGAGCGAACAGACGAGGAGCUUGCUCCUCUGACGUUAGCGGCGGACGGGUGAGUAACACGUGGAUAACCUACCUAUAAGACUGGGAUAACUUCGGGAAACCGGAGCUAAUACCGGAUAAUAUAUUGAACCGCAUGGUUCAAUAGUGAAAGACGGUUUUGCUGUCACUUAUAGAUGGAUCCGCGCCGCAUUAGCUAGUUGGUAAGGUAACGGCUUACCAAGGCAACGAUGCGUAGCCGACCUGAGAGGGUGAUCGGCCACACUGGAACUGAGACACGGUCCAGACUCCUACGGGAGGCAGCAGUAGGGAAUCUUCCGCAAUGGGCGGAAGCCUGACGGAGCAACGCCGCGUGAGUGAUGAAGGUCUUCGGAUCGUAAAACUCUGUUAUUAGGGAAGAACAAAUGUGUAAGUAACUAUGCACGGCUUGACGGUACCUAAUCAGAAAGCCACGGCUAACUACGUG
rnacentral:rRNA from 1 species